AACGGAGAUUACAGGCGGAAGUUUUCGGAUGGAAGCUUGUAAACUUAGUGGCGGACGGGUGAGUAACACGUGAGCAACCUGCCUAUCAGAGGGGGAUAACGAUCGGAAACGAUCGCUAAUACCGCAUGACAUAGCGGAACCGCAUGGUUCUGUUAUCAAAGAUUUAUCGCUGAUAGAUGGGCUCGCGUCCGAUUAGAUAGUUGGUGGGGUAACGGCCUACCAAGUCGACGAUCGGUAGCCGGACUGAGAGGUCGAACGGCCACAUUGGGACUGAGACACGGCCCAGACUCCUACGGGAGGCAGCAGUGGGGGAUAUUGCACAAUGGGGGAAACCCUGAUGCAGCGACGCCGCGUGAGGGAAGACGGUCCUCUGGAUUGUAAACCUCUGUCUUCGGGGACGAAACGAGACGGUACCCGAGGAGGAAGCCACGGCUAACUACGUGCCAGCAGCCGCGGUAAUACGUAGGUGGCAAGCGUUGUCCGGAAUUACUGGGUGUAAAGGGAGCGUAGGCGGGCAGGCAAGUCAGGCGUGAAAUAUAUCGGCUCAACCGGUAACGGCGCUUGAAACUGCAGGUCUUGAGUGAAGUAGAGGUUGGCGGAAUUCCUAGUGUAGCGGUGAAAUGCGUAGAUAUUAGGAGGAACACCAGUGGCGAAGGCGGCCAACUGGGCUUUUACUGACGCUGAGGCUCGAAAGUGUGGGGAGCAA
rnacentral:rRNA from 1 species